rnacentral:rRNA from 1 species
UGGCUUCAGGACGGGGAUAACGGUUGGAAACGACCGCUAAUACCCGAUAUGCCUAUGGGUGAAAGAUUUAUUGCCUGAAGAUGAGCUCGCGUCUGAUUAGCUAGUUGGUGGGGUAACGGCCAUACCAAGGCGACGAUCAGUAGCUGGUCUGAGAGGAUGAUCAGCCACACUGGGACUGAGACACGGCCCAGACUCCUACGGGAGGCAGCAGUGGGGAAUUUUCCGCAAUGGGCGAAAGCCUGACGGAGCAAUCCCGCGUGAGGGAGGAAGGCUCUUGGGUUGUAAACCUCUUUUAUUCGGGAAGAAGAUCUGACGGUACCGAAUGAAUCAGCAUCGGCUAACUCCGUGCCAGCAGCCGCGGUAAUACGGAGGAUGCAAGCGUUAUCCGGAAUUAUUGGGCGUAAAGCGUCCGCAGGUGGUUGGACAAGUCUGCUGUCAAAGCCCGGAGCUUAACUCCGUACCGGCGGUGGAAACUGUACAACUAGAGUACGGUAGGGGUUGCGGGAAUUCCCAGUGUAGCGGUGAAAUGCGUAGCAUAUUGGGAAGAACACCACGCGGCGAAAGCGCUGCAACUGGGCCUGUACUCACGUCUAUGUUAUGAGUACCAGGGCGCUAGUU